GCCUGGGUGGCUUAGCUGGUUAAGCAUCCAACUUCAGCUCAGGUGAUGAUCUCAUGGUUUGUGGGUUCGAGCCCCACACGAGGCU
rfam:Felis catus isolate Cinnamon breed Abyssinian chromosome D4, whole genome shotgun sequence.